AGAGUUUGAUUAUGGCUCAGAAUGAACGCUGGCGGCAGGCCUAACACAUGCAAGUCGAACGGAAACGACAAGAACAAACUCUUCGGAGGGCGAUCUUGGGCGUCGAGUGGCGGACGGGUGAGUAACGCGUGGGAAUCUACCCUUUAGUUGGGGACAACAUAUGGAAACGCAUGCUAAUACCGAAUAUGCUCUACGGAGUAAAGGUGGCCUCUACUUGUAAGCUAUCGCUAAAGGAUGAGCCCGCGUUAGAUUAGCUAGUUGGUGGGGUAAAGGCCUACCAAGGCGACGAUCUAUAGCUGGUUUGAGAGGAUGAUCAGCCACACUGGGACUGAGACACGGCCCAGACUCCUACGGGAGGCAGCAGUGGGGAAUAUUGCACGAUGAGGGAAACCUUGAUGCAGCCAUGCCGCGUGUGUGAAGAAGGCCCGAGGGUUGUAAAGCACUUUCAAUUGUGAGGAAAGGUUAGUCGCUAAUAUCGGCUAGCUGUGACGUUAACUUUAGAAGAAGCACCGGCUAACUCUGUGCCAGCAGCCGCGGUAAUACAGAGGGUGCAAGCGUUAUUCGGAAUUACUGGGCGUAAAGCGCGCGUAGGCGGACUGUUAAGUCGGUUGUGAAAGCCCUGGGCUCAACCUAGGAAUUGCAUCCGAUACUGGCAAUCUAGAGUUUAGGAGAGGGAAGUGGAAUUCCUGGUGUAGCAGUGAAAUGCGUAGAUAUCAGGAGGAACAUCAGUGGCGAAGGCGACUUCCUGGCUUAAAACUGACGCUGAGGUGCGAAAGCGUGGGUAGCGAACGGGAUUAGAUACCCUGGUAGUC
rnacentral:rRNA from 1 species